AAUAGAUACCCUGGUAGUCCACGCCGUAAACGGUGGGCACUAGGUGUGGGCGACAUUCCACGUCGUCCGUGCCGCAGCUAACGCAUUAAGUGCCCCGCCUGGGGAGUACGGCCGCAAGGCUAAAACUCAAAGGAAUUGACGGGGGCCCGCACAAGCGGCGGAGCAUGUGGCUUAAUUCGACGCAACGCGAAGAACCUUACCAAGGCUUGACAUACACCGGAAACGUCCAGAGAUGGGCGCCCCCUUGUGGUCGGUGUACAGGUGGUGCAUGGCUGUCGUCAGCUCGUGUCGUGAGGUGUUGGGUUAAGUCCCGCAACGAGCGCAACCCUUGUCCCGUGUUGCCAGCAGGCCCUUGUGGUGCUGGGGACUCACGGGAGACCGCCGGGGUUCAACUCGGAGGAAGGUGGGGACGACGUCAAGUCAUCAUGCCCCUUAUGUCUUGGGCUGCACACGUGCUACAAUGGCCGGUACAAUGAGCUGCGAUACCGCGAGGUGGAGCGAAUCUCAAAAAGCCGGUCUCAGUUCGGAUUGGGGU
rnacentral:rRNA from 1 species